UACGUAGGGCGCAAGCGUUGUCCGGAAUUAUUGGGCGUAAAGAGCUCGUAGGCGGCUUGUUGCGUCGGUUGUGAAAGCCCGGGGCUUAACCCCGGGUCGGCAGUGGAUACGGGCAGGCUAGAGGUAGGUAGGGGAGAAUGGAAUUCCCGGUGUAGCGGUGAAAUGCGCAGAUAUCAAGAGGAAUACCUGAGGUGAAGACGGGUUGCUAGGCCGACACUGACGCUGAAGCGCGAAAGCCAGGGGAGCAAACGGG
rnacentral:rRNA from 1 species